GACGAACCGUGCGAACGUUGUUCGGAAUCACUGGGCUUAAAGGGCGCGUAGGCGGGUGGGCAAGUCCGGGGUGAAAUCUUUCGGCUCAACCGGAAAAGGGCCUUGGAUACUGCUCGUCUGGAGGGAGGUAGGGGUCUGUGGAACUGCUGGUGGAGCGGUGAAAUGCGUUGAUAUCAGCAGGAACGCCGGUGGCGAAAGCGACGGACUGGACCUCUUCUGACGCUGAGGCGCGAAAGCUAGGGGAGCAAACGGG
rnacentral:rRNA from 1 species